CUAAAAUUUACUUAUUACUGUGUCUGCCACUGGAGAGAAAUUGGCUUUUAUUCUCAGCUCCAGUUUCACAAAUUACAUGAAAAGGUCUGCUUGGUUCAGCAGGAGUCCGGCGUCUAUCUCUGUGAGUGAUUGGAGUGGCACAUAACAUGGCAGAGCUGUUUCCCAAGAGAAAAAUAUCAGAACGAGUUCAAGACAGAUGAUGUUUCUCAGGCUGUUUGUUACAGGCUACAGGAAAGGACGUGUGUGGGAAACUCGGCUUUGGAAAGGCAAGUGAAGUAUGAGGGGCAGAACUAGUGAGUUGGCUAAAGACUAU
rnacentral:lncRNA from 1 species